GCAUCAUACAUCCUAUAUAUGAGAAAGUCUACAUUUAAGCCGGUUCCUCUGCAUACACCACACACCGUGACAUGACAAAUCCGGUCUGACUGCCAUGUCACGGUUCCUCACUUAAGUCGGCUCGUUUUCCCAUCCCCCUCCCCCCAACACGAAAUUGUCUCAGACCUAUUCCCUCUCUUCCGAAACCAUUUGCUCUCUUCCGAAACCAGACUCAUUCUCCAUUUUCGUUUCCUCUCUCCAUUCUCCUCCUCCAUCCCGUUUCCUCUCUUCAGAAACCAGACCCAUUCUCCUCCUCCAUUCCCGUUUCCUCACCCUUUCUCCUCCUCCAUUCCUGUUUCCUCUCUUUCGAAGCCAGAUCCUCUCACUUCCAAAUCGCGGCAGAAAAUCCCGUUGGUGCAAGAUCUUCCACUCCACUCCACGGCGUUGAUGAUUUUAUGGAAUCACCAACAUGUUGGUGUAGCUUGAAAGCCCCACUAAAGACCUCCCGAACUAAUAAAAAUCCUGGAAGAAAAUUUUACGCAUGCCCAAAGUACAACAUGGGAGAAGCAAAGUGACAAUUCUUCAUAUGGGUAUUUAUACUUCAACUAGUAGAGGAUAAAAUUCGCUCAAGAGAGAAUGUAGUGAGAAAAAAGGAGGACGAUAUAUUGUUGCACGAGUAUGAAGUUCAAAAAAAAAAAAAAGAUAAAUUAGGUGAAAAAGAGAAUGUUCUUUACAAGCAAUAGGAGAAAAUUGGGAAGAAUAUCAUAUAGAAUAGAUGUGCACGCAUCUUUUUGUAUAUGUAUUGGGUGUUAUCAAUUGUAAUAAUUUCUGGUUGGCUUGGACCAUAAAUGUAUUUGGUGGAAGUUAGUUGUAAAUGGAUAGUUGGGAUUUAACAUGACGCUUUAUAUUUUGAACAUGACCAAAUGUAUUUUGACUGUAUUUGGUUGUAAACUUUUGGUAUGUAAAAUGGAUGGUUCCUAGAUGUUGCUUGA